AUGCAGAAGAUGACUGGUCUAUCAUGGAAGCUAAGCUAUGGAUUUCAGUUGGAGGAGGAAGGCCGAUGGGAUGGACUUUUUCAUACUCGUGUUGUGGUACAAGAGAGAUCAUGUUCUAUGACAAUCGACCACAUGAGUUUGAUAAACGCGGCAAGCAUCGAGAUGGUGGAGAAGUUGGAACUACCGAUGACACCACGACCACAACCAUACUCGUUCCGUUGGGGUCAUGAAGAGCUCACUGUAACACAUCAAACCAAGGUGCCGUUUUUUUUUGGGAAAAUAUUAUUGCACGGUUUUGUGUGA
rnacentral:rRNA from 1 species